CAGUAGCCGCGGGAAUACGUAGGUGGCAAGCGCUGUCCGGAAUUAUUGGGCGUAAAGGGCUCGCAGGCGGUUUCUUAAGUCUGAUGUGAAAGCCCCCGGCUCAACCGGGGAGGGUCAUUGGAAACUGGGAAACUUGAGUGCAGAAGAGGAGAGUGGAAUUCCACGUGUAGCGGUGAAAUGCGUAGAGAUGUGGAGGAACACCAGUGGCGAAGGCGACUCUCUGGUCUGUAACUGACGCUGAGGAGCGAAAGCGUGGGGAGCGAACAGGAUUAGAUACCCCGGUAGUCCCUGUCUCUUAUAC
rnacentral:rRNA from 1 species